UCCGGGGGAAGCUCACUGCCGAGGCCACGCACGGGGUGCGCGUCACCGCCGCUCCGCCUCGGGGAAGGUCUGAGGGAAGGGCGCCCGCGGCCCCAGCAGGGCCCCGCCCGCGACGGGCGGGUGAGCCACCAGCAAGGGGGGGCGCCGCGCGGGCCGGCCCGGGCAGGAGAAGCCGCGGCGGUUCCUUCGCGGAGCUCCGGCGGAUGCUCGUGGCCCCGCGGUGCUUUGAGACAGACUCACGGCCGGCGCGAUGAGUCCAAUGGGUGAGGUGGGGCAACGCCCCAUAACCCAAUUCAGACUACUCUCCCCCGGA
rnacentral:RNase_P_RNA from 1 species